UUGGGAUGACUCCAUGUUCUACUGUCAUUGCUAGUGGUUUUCCUACUAUCUAACAAAGAUUGAUUAAUCUGAGAUGAUAAUCAGUAGCUUCAUCAAUGUUCACUACAUUUUGCUUCUGGUAAAACAGGUGAUAUUUUUCAUGCGGCACCAAAUAUUGAUCAUUCACAGGAUUUUGUACAGAGAGACAUAAAAGAGUGGCUAAACUGGCUCCGAAAUGAUAUUGGGUUUGACGGAUGGCGCCUGGAUUUUGCCAGAUCUUCUCUGGGUGAGCUGUGAGAUGAAGGGCUUGUUUUACUACUCUUUUUCUUGGUGCAAUUCAUGUAGAGAAGAAGGGUUGGAAUUAAGGAUAGCUGAAUGUGCCCAGUUUGUGGUGGAUUAAAUGAGUCGUACGUUGAGCUGAAGAGGCUUGUGAAUUCACAAGAAAAGUUGUACCAUAUGGCUAGCUAGUUGCAUAUUUAAUAUGUUUAGUAUUUUUGUAAGGCAUAAUAGUAUAGAUAGAGCAGUUGUUGAAUUUUGACUAUAUUCAAAUCUUGUAUGAAUUCUUUUUUAUGAUAAUAAUAUAAAAUUAAAUA